rnacentral:tRNA from 1 species
GUCAGGAUGGCCGAGCGGUCUAAGGCGCCAGACUCAAAUUGUGGUCCACAAAUGUGGGCGUGGGUUCGAAUCCCACUUCUGACA